rnacentral:lncRNA from 1 species
AAGUCAAGAAAAAAAAUGAGAAAGAGGUUGAAACAAAAGAGGUAGUUAAAGAGCAUCUAUGUAUUCUUCCUCUUUACUAAUCCUAAUCCCCCUAUUGUAGAAGCAACACAUGAUUAUGAUCUAGUUGCACCUGAAUAUGAGGUUAUUCUUGAGGUUUUAGAACUAAACUUGUCAGAUGAUCCUUAGGUUAUGGAAAAUGUCUACUUGAC